rnacentral:rRNA from 1 species
GUGAAAUUAAACGGCCGCGGUACCCUGACCGCGCGAAGGUAGCAUAAUCACUCGUUCUUUAAAUAGGGACUUGUAUCAACGGCAUCACGAGGGUCGCACUGUCUCCUCCAUCUAAUCAGUGAACCUGAUCUCUCCGUGAAGAAGCGGGGAUAAAAAUAUAAGACGAGAAGACCCCAUGGAGCUUUAAAUCUAAAGCAAUCUAAUCAAAUAAAUCCCUACAUAAUUUAAAUAUGCAUAACGAUCUUAGGUUGGGGUGACCGCGGAGUAAAAACAAACCUCCACAACGAAAAGAAAUAAACCUUUAUUCAAGAGCUACUACUCUAAGAAUUAGCACACUAACGAGCAAUGACCCGAUAAUCGAUCAAUGGACCAAGUUACCCUGGGGAUAACAGCGCAAUCUACUUCAAGAGCCCAUAUCGACAAGUAGGCUUACGACCUCGAUGUUGGAUCAGGGUAUCCCAGUGGUGCAACCGCUACUAAUGGUUCGUUUGUUCAACGAUUAAAACCCCUACGUGAUCUGAGUUCAAACCGGAG